GCCGACAUAGCUCAGUGGCAGAGCGCAUUCUUGGUAAGAAUGAGGUCCUGGGUUCAAUCCCCAGUGUCGGCU
rnacentral:tRNA from 1 species